AACGCUGGCGGCAUGCCUUACACAUGCAAGUCGAACGGUAGAGUAGCAAUACUCGAGAGUAGGCGAACGGGUGAGUAAUAUAUCGGAACGUGCCCAGUCGUGGGGGAUAACGUAGAGAAAUUUACGCUAAUACCGCAUACGAUCUAUGGAUGAAAGCGGGGGAUCGCAAGACCUCGCGCGAUUGGAGCGGCCGAUAUCAGAUUAGGUAGUUGGUGAGGUAAAGGCUCACCAAGCCGACGAUCUGUAGCUGGUCCUGAGAGGACGACCAGCCACACUGGGACUGAGACACGGCCCAGACUCCUACGGGAGGCAGCAGUGGGGAAUUUUGGACAAUGGGCGCAAGCCUGAUCCAGCAAUGCCGCGUGCAGGAUGAAGGCCUUCGGGUUGUAAACUGCUUUUGUACGGAACGAAACGGUGAGCUCUAAUACAGUUUGCUAAUGACGGUACCGUAAGAAUAAGCACCGGCUAACUACGUG
rnacentral:rRNA from 1 species